rnacentral:rRNA from 1 species
AGUUUGAUCCUGGCUCAGAUUGAACGCUGGCGGUAUGCUUAACACAUGCAAGUCGAACGGAAANCGAAACUAGCUUGCUAGUAGGCGUCGAGUGGCGGACGGGUGAGUAACGCGUAGGAAUCUGCCUGAUAGUGGGGGAUAGCCCGAAGAAAUUCGGAUUAAUACCGCAUAAUCUAUUCGUAGUAAAGUGGGGGACUUUCGAGCCUCACGCUAUCAGAUGAGCCUGCGUAAGAUUAGCUUGUUGGUAGGGUAAAAGCCUACCAAGGCAACGAUCUUUAGCUGGUCUGAGAGGAUGAUCAGCCACAUCGGGACUGAGACACGGCCCGAACUCCUACGGGAGGCAGCAGUGGGNAAUAUNGNACAAUGGGGGCAACCCUGAUCCAGCAAUACCGCGUGUGUGAAGAAGGCCUGAGGGUUGUAAAGCACUUUUCAAUUGUGAAGAAAAGUCAACGGUUAAUAACCGUUGACCUUGACGUUAACUUUAGAAGAAGCACCGGCUAACUCCGUGCCAGCAGCCGCGGUAAUACGGAGGGUGCAAGCGUUAAUCGGAAUUACUGGGCGUAAAGCGUGCGUAGGCGGUUUAUUAAGUCAGAUGUGAAAGCCCCGGGCUUAACCUGGGAACUGCAUUUGAAACUGGUCAACUAGAGUAUGGUAGAGGAAAGUGGAAUUUCUGGUGUAGCGGUGAAAUGCGUAGAUAUCAGAAGGAACAUCAAUGGCGAAGGCAGCUUUCUGGACCAAUACUGACNCUGAGGUACGAAAGCGUGGGUAGCAAACAGGAUUAGAUACCCUGGUAGUCCACGCCGUAAACGAUGAUAACUAGCCGUUGGGGGGAUUUACCCCUUAGUGGCGAAGCUAACGCGUUAAGUUAUCCGCCUGGGGAGUACGGCCGCAAGGCUAAAACUCAAAGGAAUUGACGGGGACCCGCACAAGCGGUGGAGCAUGUGGUUUAAUUCGAUGCAACGCGAAGAACCUUACCUGGUCUUGACAUCCUGCGAACUUUCUAGAAAUAGAUUGGUGCCUUCGGGAACGCAGUGACAGGUGCUGCAUGGCUGUCGUCAGCUCGUGUCGUGAGAUGUUGGGUUAAGUCCCGCAACGAGCGCAACCCUUUUCCUUAUUUGCCAGCGGGUUAAGCCGGGNAACUUUAAGGAUACUGCCAGUGACAAACUGGAGGAAGGCGGGGGACGACGUCAAGUCAUCAUGGGCCCUUACGACCAGGGCUACACACGUGCUACAAUGG